GGCCCAUUCGUCUAUCGGUUAGGACGCAAGAUUUUCAUUCUUGAAAGAGCAGUUCAAUUCUGCUAUGGGCUA
rnacentral:tRNA from 1 species